CGUGUUUGAUACCCAUUUGUUAGCAGUAAACAGCAUAUCUGUUACCUCGAUAUAUUAUUCCAUUUGUUGGCCAUUUUUUGCUUCUAAAGGUUAGGUUCCAGCUCUCAAGUAAAUGCUCAAGAAAUUAUUGGUAUUAUUUCUUUUGUGUGAGAUAGUAGUUAGCAAGAAAUUUGACAUUUCAUAUCGCACCGUGAAUGUUAAAAAGUAGAAGAAGAGUGUAAAGUAAUCAAACCACGGUAGAGGAGAUAUUUGAGCAAGAGCAAUUGGUGGUCAAGUGAAAAACUAAUCUAACAGAAUAGAAAUUUAAGCACGAGUAAUUGGUAUACAAAAAAGCAAAGCGUUAAUCAACCAGAAAAGAUAUGUAUUUGAGCAAGAGCAAUUGGUAAGUUUCCCAUUAUGUGGUCAUUUUUAGUAUCCAUAAUGGAAGACGAGGAGUAGAUUUUAUAUAAUACUAUCCGACCCCGCAGUCAUUGUCCUGCGUGAAAUUAUGUGUUUAGAAAUGAAAAAGUUGAAUUUAUCAUUUCACUUUUUUUCAAUGUUUUGACGCU